rnacentral:rRNA from 1 species
ACGGGUGAGUAACACGUGGAUAACCUACCUAUAAGACUGGGAUAACUUCGGGAAACCGGAGCUAAUACCGGAUAACUUGUUGAACCGCAUGGUUCAACAGUGAAAGACGGUCUUGCUGUCACUUAUAGAUGGAUCCGCGCCGCAUUAGCUAGUUGGUAAGGUAACGGCUUACCAAGGCAACGAUGCGUAGCCGACCUGAGAGGGUGAUCGGCCACACUGGAACUGAGACACGGUCCAGACUCUUACGGGAGGCAGCAGUAGGGAAUCUUCCGCAAUGGGCGAAAGCCUGACGGAGCAACGCCGCGUGAGUGAUGAAGGUCUUCGGAUCGUAAAACUCUGUUAUUAGGGAAGAACAAAUGUGUAAGUAACUAUGCACGUCUUGACGGUACCUAAUCAGAAAGCCACGGCUAACUACGUGCCAGCAGCCGCGGUAAUACGUAGGUGGCAAGCGUUAUCCGGAAUUAUUGGGCGUAAAGCGCGCGUAGGCGGUUUUUUAAGUCUGAUGUGAAAGCCCACGGCUCAACCGUGGGGGGUCAUUGGAAACUGGAAAACUUGAGUGCAGAAGAGGAAAGUGGA